rnacentral:rRNA from 1 species
GAUGAACGCUGGCGGCGUGCCUAAUACAUGCAAGUCGAGCGAAGCGGGGACGGGUGAGUAACACGUGGAUAACCUCCUAUAAGACUGGGAUAACUUCGGGAAACCGGAGCUAAACCGGAUACUUAUCGAUGGAUCCGCGCUGUAUUAGCUAGUUGGUAAGGUAACGGCUUACCAAGGCAACGAUGCAUAGCCGACCUGAGAGGGGGAUCGGCCACACUGGAACUGAGACACGGCCCAGACUCCUACGGGAGGCAGCAGUAGGGAAUAUUGCGCAAUGGGCGAAAGCCUGACAGAGCAACGCCGCGUGAGUGAUGAAGGUCUUCGGAUCGUAAAGCUCUGUUAGUAGGGAAGCGGUACCUAAGCAGGAAGCCACGGCUAACUACGUGCCAGCCGCCGCGGUAAUUC